GAUUAAGUUAUUAAGGGCGCACGGUGGAUGCCUUGGCACUAGAAGCCGAUGAAGGACGUUACUAACGACGAUAUGCUUUGGGGAGCUGUAAGUAAGCUUUGAUCCAGAGAUUUCCGAAUGGGGAAACCCAGCAUGAGUUAUGUCAUGUUAUCGAUAUGUGAAUACAUAGCAUAUCAGAAGGCACACCCGGAGAACUGAAACAUCUUAGUACCCGGAGGAAGAGAAAGAAAAUUCGAUUCCCUUAGUAGCGGCGAGCGAAACGGGAAGAGCCCAAACCAACAAGCUUGCUUGUUGGGGUUGUAGGACACUCUAUACGGAGUUACAAAGGACGACAUUAGACGAAUCAUCUGGAAAGAUGAAUCAAAGAAGGUAAUAAUCCUGUAGUCGAAAAUGUUGUCUCUCUUGAGUGGAUCCUGAGUACGACGGAGCACGUGAAAUUCCGUCGGAAUCUGGGAGGACCAUCUCCUAAGGCUAAAUACUCUCUAGUGACCGAUAGUGAACCAGUACCGUGAGGGAAAGGUGAAAAGCACCCCGGAAGGGGAGUGAAAUAGAACCUGAAACCGUGUGCUUACAAGUAGUCAGAGCCCGUUAAUGGGUGAUGGCGUGCCUUUUGUAGAAUGAACCGGCGAGUUACGAUUUGAUGCAAGGUUAAGCAGUAAAUGUGGAGCCGUAGCGAAAGCGAGUCUGAAUAGGGCGUUUAGUAUUUGGUCGUAGACCCGAAACCAGGUGAUCUACCCUUGGUCAGGUUGAAGUUCAGGUAACACUGAAUGGAGGACCGAACCGACUUACGUUGAAAAGUGAGCGGAUGAACUGAGGGUAGCGGAGAAAUUCCAAUCGAACCUGGAGAUAGCUGGUUCUCUCCGAAAUAGCUUUAGGGCUAGCCUCAAGUGAUGAUUAUUGGAGGUAGAGCACUGUUUGGACGAGGGGCCCCUCUCGGGUUACCGAAUUCAGACAAACUCCGAAUGCCAAUUAAUUUAACUUGGGAGUCAGAACAUGGGUGAUAAGGUCCGUGUUCGAAAGGGAAACAGCCCAGACCACCAGCUAAGGUCCCAAAAUAUAUGUUAAGUGGAAAAGGAUGUGGCGUUGCCCAGACAACUAGGAUGUUGGCUUAGAAGCAGCCAUCAUUUAAAGAGUGCGUAAUAGCUCACUAGUCGAGUGACACUGCGCCGAAAAUGUACCGGGGCUAAACAUAUUACCGAAGCUGUGGAUUGUCCUUUGGACAAUGGUAGGAGAGCGUUCUAAGGGCGUUGAAGCAUGAUCGCAAGGACAUGUGGAGCGCUUAGAAGUGAGAAUGCCGGUGUGAGUAGCGAAAGACGGGUGAGAAUCCCGUCCACCGAUUGACUAAGGUUUCCAGAGGAAGGCUCGUCCGCUCUGGGUUAGUCGGGUCCUAAGCUGAGGCCGACAGGCGUAGGCGAUGGAUAACAGGUUGAUAUUCCUGUACCACCUAUAAUCGUUUUAAUCGAUGGGGGACGCAGUAGGAUAGGCGAAGCGUGCGAUUGGAUUGCACGUCUAAGCAGUAAGGCUGAGUAUUAGGCAAAUCCGGUACUCGUUAAGGCUGAGCUGUGAUGGGGAGAAGACAUUUAGUCUUCGAGUCGUUGAUUUCACACUGCCGAGAAAAGCCUCUAGAUAGAAAAUAGGUGCCCGUACCGCAAACCGACACAGGUAGUCAAGAUGAGAAUUCUAAGGUGAGCGAGCGAACUCUCGUUAAGGAACUCGGCAAAAUGACCCCGUAACUUCGGGAGAAGGGGUGCUCUUUAGGGUUAACGCCCAGAAGAGCCGCAGUGAAUAGGCCCAAGCGACUGUUUAUCAAAAACACAGGUCUCUGCUAAACCGUAAGGUGAUGUAUAGGGGCUGACGCCUGCCCGGUGCUGGAAGGUUAAGAGGAGUGGUUAGCUUCUGCGAAGCUACGAAUCGAAGCCCCAGUAAACGGCGGCCGUAACUAUAACGGUCCUAAGGUAGCGAAAUUCCUUGUCGGGUAAGUUCCGACCCGCACGAAAGGCGUAACGAUUUGGGCACUGUCUCAACGAGAGACUCGGUGAAAUCAUAGUACCUGUGAAGAUGCAGGUUACCCGCGACAGGACGGAAAGACCCCGUGGAGCUUUACUGUAGCCUGAUAUUGAAAUUCGGCACAGCUUGUACAGGAUAGGUAGGAGCCUUUGAAACGUGAGCGCUAGCUUACGUGGAGGCGCUGGUGGGAUACUACCCUAGCUGUGUUGGCUUUCUAACCCGCACCACUUAUCGUGGUGGGAGACAGUGUCAGGCGGGCAGUUUGACUGGGGCGGUCGCCUCCUAAAAGGUAACGGAGGCGCUCAAAGGUUCCCUCAGAAUGGUUGGAAAUCAUUCAUAGAGUGUAAAGGCAUAAGGGAGCUUGACUGCGAGACCUACAAGUCGAGCAGGGUCGAAAGACGGACUUAGUGAUCCGGUGGUUCCGCAUGGAAGGGCCAUCGCUCAACGGAUAAAAGCUACCCCGGGGAUAACAGGCUUAUCUCCCCCAAGAGUUCACAUCGACGGGGAGGUUUGGCACCUCGAUGUCGGCUCAUCGCAUCCUGGGGCUGUAGUCGGUCCCAAGGGUUGGGCUGUUCGCCCAUUAAAGCGGUACGCGAGCUGGGUUCAGAACGUCGUGAGACAGUUCGGUCCCUAUCCGUCGUGGGCGUAGGAAAUUUGAGAGGAGCUGUCCUUAGUACGAGAGGACCGGGAUGGACAUACCUCUGGUGUACCAGUUGUCGUGCCAACGGCAUAGCUGGGUAGCUAUGUGUGGACGGGAUAAGUGCUGAAAGCAUCUAAGCAUGAAGCCCCCCUCAAGAUGAGAUUUCCCAACUUCGGUUAUAAGAUCCCUCAAAGAUGAUGAGGUUAAUAGGUUCGAGGUGGAAGCAUGGUGACAUGUGGAGCUGACGAAUACUAAUCGAUCGAAGACUUAAUCAA
rnacentral:rRNA from 1 species